AUGUUAUCACUGUGGUACACGUUCGGUGGAGGAACCAGACUGGAAGUUGGAAGUGAUGUCCGUCCCUCCCUGACGGUGCUGCCUCCCUCCGUGGAGGAGCUGCAGCAGGGGAAGGCCACGCUCAUGUGCCUGGCCAACAAGGGCUUCCCCUCAGACUGGAGUCUGUCCUGGAAGGUGGACGGCAGCAGCAGCAUCAGCAACGGGGAGCAGAGCAGGAGCCCCGGGGUGCUGCAGAAGGACGGCCACUACAGCUGGAGCAGCACCCUGAGGCUCCCUGCAGACCAGUGGAGGAAGGUGGUCUCUGUGACCUGUGAGGCCAGCCAGGGCUCCCAGACUCCGCUCUCAGAAACACUGAGGAGAGACCAGUGUUCCCAGUCCUAACCUGACUCACUGGGACUCUCACACUGCUUUCACUCUCUCUCUGCUCUCAGGCUUUUCUCUCUCUCUUUAUUUCUACCAUGAGACCAACUGAACAUCAUUUAUCUUCAGCUUUUCAUGUUUUUUUUUUUUUAUUCAUGUUUUAAGACAAUAAAGUUUCUUCUUCAAAUCAGCAA